CGUCGCUGUUUGCAGACAGGUCCUAUUCCUCCCCUCCUCGCGCCGUGGAGCGUCCUUCACUGAGAUCAGCCACCCAUCGUCCAUCCAGGCGGCCUGCACCACUGGCGCUUCGGGGAGUACAAAUGAGUCAAACACGCAUCGGCUCCUGUCCCCUUCCUCGCCUCCGUCGAACAGCAUCAUCACAGCAAUAGAUAAGUAUACUGACAACACACACGCGCACACGAUGGAAUGACGUCACGUACCCGUGUGCAUAUCACUUUCUCAAAGGGUCCGUGGACGUUUUGACAGUCCGUUUUACCGUGGAGUCCUGGAUGCUAAACGAUUUCUGAAUGUAUGGAAGUCUAUAUAAAUAGGACACUACUUAUGACUCGAUUUAUUACCAUCAUUACAUUACCCGCAAAUGUAGUCUUUACACGGGAACGCCCACUUCUUAUUCUCCUCUUCUCUUCUUCUAGAAUGGAAAUUGAAUUAGAAAAGGUUGCGUAUGUAUUGCUGAACAUUUAUACUUUCAUAAAUGAAUCUCGUGCAUAUGAUUCCAAAUACAUACAAAGUUUAGAUACAUAUGGGAGUGUUUCACAUAUAUUAUAUGUUGUGUGGACAAUUUUCACUAGUACGUGUAAGAGCUUUUCAUUAGUGUGUAUGAAUGAAAUCACACUAGCAUACAGAAGGUAUCUCACUUACACCAGAAGGUGGAAGCAAAGAGGGCAGGUUUUGAACAGUAAAAAUUACUAAUGGUAUUAGCACUACAGUUGAUAUUACUAGUAAUACUACUAACACUACUACAAUUUUUCCCAUUGCUAUUAAUACUAAAACUACUAAUACUUCUUCUACUGCUAGUACUACCAGUACCACAACUAAUACUACUGCUAAUAUUACUACAUAGCCAUUUUUAAGAAUUCAUCUCAUCUUUUCUCAUUUCUGUAUUUUCAGCAAUGUUUUUACAUUUAUUUCAGCUUUUCUUAUUUCUGUAUUUACAUAAUGUUUAAAAAAUUCGCUCCAGCUUUAGCUGUUUCUGUAUUUUCAAAAUUCUGAAAUUCAUUUCAGCGUUUUUCAUGUCUGUAUGUUCAGCAAUUUUCUGAAAUUCAUUUCAAUAUUUAGCAUUUUUCUUUUCAGAUAUUCUAAUUUCGGUGUUUUCAGCAAUUUUUUUAAAUCCACUUCAGCUUCUGCCAUUUCUGUAUUUUCUGAAAUUAAAGAGGUUCUCGUGGACCUGGAGCCCAAUGUCAUCGAUGAGGUGGACAGGGGGACUUACUGCCGCCUGUUCCACCCUGAGCAGCUGAUCACUGCUUAGGAGGAUGCUGCUAACAAUUAAGCCUGUGGAAACAAUAUCACAGGCGUAGUGCUGGACAGGAUUCCCAAGCUGUCUGACCAGCUCCAGAGGUGGGACCGGCUUCACCUCUCCCCUGAUGGAGCAUCUGUCUGUCGACUACAUCCUAAGACACCACAGACUCUAACGCUACGUACCUGAAUCCCUACCGGCUGCUCCAAGGGACUCUCCUCCAGUCCGUAACCUGGAACUCGGACUACCCUCCAGUUAACGUUCCAUCCUGAUCAUCUGCCUGCCUAUUCAUUAUAUAUCCGUCUGGUUCCGCUAUCUUGUCAAUAAACUAUUGUACUUACCUCACGGCUGUCUCUUGUACCCCAUUCGUG
ensembl:lncRNA